CAUUAAAUCUCAGAGGAAGAAGAUUAGUUUCACCGCCGUCUCUGUUGUUUUGUUGUGAUGCUCGUUUAAUACAAACUGUUAGAAAUGUAGUUUUCUGUAAAUAUUUUUUUUUUUUUUAAGUUUUUGAAUCAGGUCAGCAAAUACCUGUAAUAUUCUCAUCCUUAUAGUCGUGACUAAGUUCUGAAGCAAGCAGGAAUAUCUGGAGGAGAAUCAGCUGAACUGAGAUCUGCUGCUGUGAAGAUGGUGUUUGUUAAAGAGGAGAGUGAGGAGAACAUGAGUGAACCAGAAACCUGGAGAAUAAAACAAGAGGAACCAGAAACCUGGAAAAUAAAACACGAGGAACAAGAACCCUGGACAAUAAAACAUGAGGAACAAGAACUGUGCAGAAUAAAACAUGAAGAACAAGGAGAGUUUAUUGAAGAAAGUGAGGAUAACGAAGAAUUGAGAGAUGAGGAGACAAAUCAUGUCAAAACUGGAGAAAAAAACCUUUGAGUUGCUCUCAAACCAAACAGAAAAAUUUAAAGAAAGGAGGAGCCAAGAAAUGCUUCAUCUGCACUCAGUGUGGAAAGAGUUUGACAAGCAAAUUUAAUCUUGAGCGUCACAUGAAAGUUCAUAUUGAAGAGAAAGCAUUUACGUGUGAUCAGUGUGGGAAGAGUUUCACAAAA